rnacentral:rRNA from 1 species
GGUGGGAGCGGCGGACGGGUUAGUAACGCGUGGGAAUAUGCCCGGUACUAAGGAAUAGCCUUUGGAAACGAAGAGUAAUACCUUAUACGCCCUUCGGGGGAAAGAUUUAUCGGUAUCGGAUUAGCCCGCGUAAGAUUAGAUAGUUGGUGGGGUAAUGGCCUACCAAGUCUACGAUCUUUAACUGGUUUUAGAGGAUGAUCAGCAACACUGGGACUGAGACACGGCCCAGACUCCUACGGGAGGCAGCAGUGGGGAAUCUUAGACAAUGGGCGCAAGCCUGAUCUAGCCAUGCCGCGUGAGUGAAGAAGGCCUUAGGGUCGUAAAACUCUUUCGCCAGAGAUGAUAAUGACAGUAUCUGGUAAAGAAACCCCGGCUAACUCCGUGCCAGCAGCCGCGGUAAUACGGAGGGGGUUAGCGUUGUUCGGAAUUACUGGGCGUAAAGCGCACGUAGGCGGACUGGAAAGUUGGGGGUGAAAUCCCGGGGCUCAACCUCGGAACUGCCUCCAAAACUAUCAGUCUAGAGUUCGAGAGAGGUGAGUGGAAUUCCGAGUGUAGAGGUGAAAUUCGUAGAUAUUCGGAGGAACACCAGUGGCGAAGGCGGCUCACUGGCUCGAUACUGACGCUGAGGUGCGAAAGUGUGGGGAGCAAACAGGAUUAGAUACCCUGGUAGUCCACACCGUAAACGAUGAAUGCCAGUCGUCGGGUAGUAUACUAUUCGGUGACACACCUAACGGAUUAAGCAUUCCGCCUGGGGAGUACGGUCGCAAGAUUAAAACUCAAAGGAAUUGACGGGGGCCCGCACAAGCGGUGGAGCAUGUGGUUUAAUUCGAAGC